rnacentral:misc_RNA from 1 species
GAAAGCGGGGGCGACCCUGUGAGUAAAGUGGCAGACGGGUGAGUAACACGUGAACAACCUACCCUUGAGUGGGGAAUAACACCGCGAAAGCGGUGUUAAUACCGCAUAAAAUCUUCUUAUUGCAUGAUGGGGAGAUCAAAAGCGCGAGUUGCUUGAGGAGGGGUUCGCGGCUGAUUAGCUAGUUGGUGAGGUAACGGCCCACCAAGGCGAGGAUCAGUAGCCGGCCUGAGAGGGCGAACGGCCACACUGGAACUGAGACACGGUCCAGAGUCCUACGGGAGGCAGCAGUGGGAUCUGNC